rnacentral:rRNA from 1 species
UAGGGAAUCUUCGGCAAUGGACGGAAGUCUGACCGAGCAACGCCGCGUGAGUGAAGAAGGUUUUCGGAUCGUAAAGCUCUGUUGUAAGAGAAGAACGAGUGUGAGAGUGGAAAGUUCACACUGUGACGGUAUCUUACCAGAAAGGGACGGCUAACUACGUGCCAGCAGCCGCGGUAAUACGUAGGUCCCGAGCGUUGUCCGGAUUUAUUGGGCGUAAAGCGAGCGCAGGCGGUUAGAUAAGUCUGAAGUUAAAGGCUGUGGCUUAACCAUAGUAGGCUUUGGAAAACUUUUUNUUAGGUCAAGAGGGGGGNGGGGAAUUCCCAUUUGCAGCGGGGGGGAAAAAUGNGUAGAUAUAGGAGGAACGCCCNCGGGGANAGAGCGGCUCUUUUGCUUGUAAAACUGACGCUGAGGCUCGAAAAGCGUGGGGAGCAAACAGGAUUAGAUACCCUGGUAGUCCACGCUGUAAACGAUGAGUGCUAGGUGUUAGACCCUUUCCGGGGUUUAGUGCCGUAGCUAACGCAUUAAGCACUCCGCCUGGGGAGUACGACCGCAAGGUUG